rnacentral:rRNA from 1 species
AUACGGAGGGUGCAAGCGUUGUUCGGAAUCACUGGGCGUAAAGCGCGCGCAGGCGGGCUGAUAAGUUGGAUGUGAAAGCCUACGGCUCAACCGUAGAACUGCAUCCAAAACUGUCAGUCUAGAGUGUGGGAGAGGAAGAUGGAAUUAGUUGUGUAGGGGUAAAAUCCGUAGAGAUAACUAGGAAUACCAAAAGCGAAGGCAAUCUUCUGGAACACUACUGACGCUGAGGCGCGAAGGCGUGGGGAGCAAACAGGAUUAGAUACCCCAGUAGUCC